rnacentral:rRNA from 1 species
UUCCGUUGGUGAACCUGCGGAUUGAUCAUGACACCAAUAUGAGGGCUGGCUGGAGCCUUUUGGGGUUCCAACCUUGCUGAAUUAUUCACCCUUGUUUUUUUCGUGGUUCUUGUUUCCUUGGUGGGUUCGCCCACCACUAGGCCAAACAUCCCCUAAACUUAAUUGCAAUCAGAAUCAGUAACAAAUUAAUAAUUACAAAUUUCAACUUUCAAUAUCGGGGUUCUGGGUUCGAUGAUGGAUGCAGAGAAAUGCAAAAAGUAAUAAGAAUUGCAGAAUUCAGAAUUUCAUGAAUUCUUUGAUCGCACAUUGCACCCUUUGGUAUUCCAAAUUGCAUGCGGCAUCGAGCGUCAUUUGUCACUUCAACCUUCAAGUUCUGUUGGGCGUUUGGUCUCUCGCUAACCCGAGUCUCGCCUUAAAAUAAUGGCAGCGUCGAGCUUCCAUUGGGAGGGCAUCACAAGUAGCACUUUCUAUCUGCAAAGGUCCAGCCUCCAAAAAGCCUUUUUUCAACUUGACCUCGGAUCAGGUAGGAUCCAUCCUUUAGGUUU